rnacentral:rRNA from 1 species
GACGAACGCUGGCGGCGUGCUUAACACAUGCAAGUCGAACGGAAAGGCCCUGCUUUUGUGGGGUGCUCGAGUGGCGAACGGGUGAGUAACACGUGAGUAACCUGCCCUUGACUUUGGGAUAACUUCAGGAAACUGGGGCUAAUACCGGAUAGGAGCUCCUGCUGCAUGGUGGGGGUUGGAAAGUUUCGGCGGUUGGGGAUGGACUCGCGGCUUAUCAGCUUGUUGGUGGGGUAGUGGCUUACCAAGGCUUUGACGGGUAGCCGGCCUGAGAGGGUGACCGGCCACAUUAGGACUGAGAUACGGACCAGACUCCUACGGGAGGCAGCAGUGGGGAAUAUUGCACAAUGGGCGGAAGCCUGAUGCAGCAACGCCGCGUGCGGGAUGACGGCCUUCGGGUUGAAAACCGCUUUCGCCUGUGACGAAGCGUGAGUGACGGUAAUGGGUAAAGAAGCACCGGCUAACUACGUG